ensembl:ncRNA lncRNA:CR44852 long non-coding RNA:CR44852
UCAGAUUAUAGUCGGGCCUGACACACUCACAAGUCCCCGCCACUUGGAACCCCGGAUCAAGAACUAGGCGUGGCGGUGCGGGGCGGGGCCAGGGCAAUCCAAAUCCACUGCCGUCAAAGGCGUCGCACACUCCUUUGAAGCCAGAUCCGGAGGAUAGAGACCGAAUCUGACUGUCAGUCAGCCAGUCAGUCAGUUAGUUAGUUGGUUGGUAACUGGAAACUGCUUUCCACGCACCAACCUCCUUUUCGCUCCCCCAAUGAAAUCCACAGAUCAGUGAGCUGGAAACGUUAGUGGAUUAGUGGACGUGUGCAUAACGCCUAAUCGGAGUGGAUUUUGAAAAUGAUUAGUCAGGCCGACCAUGAUGGCGUCCCCUUGAGUGUCGCAAUCGCAAUCGCAAUAUUUGGAUUAUCAGAUAACCAGCAUAUAAUGAGAAUGACAGUUAAUUGGGAUUUUUAGUGGGUUGCAAUCGCGUCCAGAAAUCACGCUAUAAAGCGAUUAAGCACUUGUUCGUGUCCGAUCAGUACGAUUACAUCCAUUGCCAGCCGAGUGUUAUGUGUCAAUCACUCAUAUCAAACUGGGAAAAAAAGACUCUUCGGAGAACUUCAUAGCAUUAAACUCUUGAAAUGCAAUCGAAGCAGUUACGUUGGACUUUGGUAUUAAUUUUAGCUUUGGCUUUGGUUGUGGAGGGUUCCAUCCUUGGUUUCGGCACCAAGAAAUCGGAUAAGGCUCCAGUGAAAGUAGAAGGGCCAGAGAAUAAGGCCCCCCUGAACAAAAAGCUAUCGAAUGACUAUAUUAACGGAGUGCUGAGCAUACAGGGUCAAAUGCUUUUUAAUGCCGUAAAUAAGCCUUCAUCUCUUAAACUGUAUCGCAGUGCUCGGUAUAUGCAGUCGCCUCAGGACUAUCCCGAUCUCCUAGGAUUACAAUAAUAAAUCGAAUAUAAUCGAAACUUAUAUAUUUUACCAACUAAUAAAUGUAAUUAUGACUAUAU